CCCCCCAAAGCCCAAGAAAACCAGUCUUCAUCAUAGGCCUCUGUGAUUGAUUUCUAGAAUACUUAAGUUGGUAGUAGUCAAGCCAGUUCUGCAUACUUUUCUUCUUCUUCACCAAUUUGGCUAGUUUGUUUGAAUUGUAUACCGACUGAUGAGUAAGAUAGUGAUCUGGAUGAUUGACCAGAAAAAAGUGCUCCACAAGCUCACUAACAGAUUCAUCAGGAUCUGGUGGCACAUUCCUAACAAGGACUGUAAAUUGAUCUGGACGACGACUUUCUGAGGCAAGAAACUGCAAGCGCAUUGUAGCAACUUUCUCAUACUCCUUCAUUAACACAUAGCAUGUCCAAAAAGUAAAGACAUAAGCCAUAACUAUAUGUGCCCAAAAUCUUUGCGAUUUGAGUGGGACAUUUGAGAUUGAAAGCUUGUCA
rnacentral:misc_RNA from 1 species